rnacentral:lncRNA from 1 species
GAAACAUCACAUUCUAUGUUAAGGGGUGAUGUGGAAAUAGUUUUACCCAUGUUUGAAGAGCUAAAUUAUGGUAUUAACUAAGUUUGAAGUCAUAUGAUAAUUGUGUUAUUCAAUUUGGGGAUACAUGUGCAUAGCCUCAUGGUAAGAUUUAGUAUUACUUGAGGACAAGCAAAACUUUAAGUUGAGGGUGUUUAUGAGUGGUCAAUUUACCACUCAUUUGAACUCAACAUGCUUUCACAUUACAAUGAUUUAAAUGUAUAAAUAAGACAUAUGAAUGAUUAAAUGCACUAAUAUCCAUAUUUUGCAGGCAUAUUGGGAAGGAGAUGGAAAGAUGUGGGCUUGAGAUAAAAAGGAUCAAAAGAGAGAAAAGAAGUGCAACUGGAAGACCUAUAGAAGAAAUAUGCCUUAGUUAACUUGAUCGUGGUCUGAGGUUCGCUAUUGCGCCUAACCAAGAAGGUUAGAAACUGCAAUUGCUUCGAUCUACCUGAGGUCACAGUAGCCACAAUUGGAACAAAUAUAAUGUGAUCAUUGCAAAGCGUGAUGAGGCCUAGGUACAGUUUUGUAAUUUUAAGCAGCCGACCCCAAAUCCCUUAAAAUCUUAAAACUCUUUCCUAUUUUUGACAUACUAGAGAAAAGCAAUAUUUUUAAUUUGAA